GUACAUGCCUACAACAUAGCGUUAAUGCACUAGAUCCCUUUAGAACUCCGUAGUUAAGCGCACUCGGGCUAGAGUAGUACUGGGAUGGGUGACCGCCCGGGAAGUCCUAGUGUGUUACAUGCC
rfam:Picea glauca, whole genome shotgun sequence.